CUCGGAGUUUGAUCCUGGCUCAGAUUGAACGCUGGCGGCAUGCCUUACACAUGCAAGUCGAACGGCAGCACGGGUGCUUGCACCUGGUGCGAGUGGCGGAACGGGUGAGUAACUAUAUCGGAACGUACCUUAUCGUGGGGGAUAACGCAGCGAAAGCUGCGCUAAUACCGCAUACGCCCUGAGGGGGUAAAGCGGGGGACCGUAAGGCCUCGCGCGAUUAGAGCGGCCGAUAUCUGAUUAGCUUGUU
rnacentral:rRNA from 1 species